rnacentral:rRNA from 1 species
GUGGGGAAUAUUGGACAAUGGGCGCAAGCCUGAUCCAGCCAUGCCGCGUGAGUGAUGAAGGCCCUAGGGUUGUAAAGCUCUUUCAGUGGGGACGAUAAUGACGGUACCCACAGAAGAAGCCCCGGCUAACUUCGUGCCAGCAGCCGCGGUAAUACGAAGGGGGCUAGCGUUGUUCGGAUUUACUGGGCGUAAAGCGCACGUAGGCGGAUCGUUAAGUCGAGGGUGAAAUCCUGGAGCUCAACUCCAGAACUGCCUUCGAUACUGGCGAUCUUGAGUCCGGAAGAAGUGAGUGGAACUCCUAGUGUAGAGGUGGAAUUCGUAGAUAUUAGGAAGAACACCAGUGGCGAAGGCGGCUCACUGGUCCGGUACUGACGCUGAGGUGCGAAAGCGUGGGGAGCAAACAGGAUUAGAAACCCCAGUAGUCC